UACGGAGGGUGCAAGCGUUGUCCGGAUUUAUUGGGUUUAAAGGGUGCGUAGGUGGCGCGCUAAGUCAGGUGUGAAAUCUCGGGGCUUAACUCCGAAACUGCAUUUGAUACUGGCGUGCUUGAGGACUGGAGAGGAGACUGGAAUUUACGGUGUAGCAGUGAAAUGCGUAGAGAUCGUAAGGAAGACCAGUGGCGAAGGCGGGUCUCUGGACAGUUCCUGACACUGAGGCACGAAGGCCAGGGGAGCAAACGGG
rnacentral:rRNA from 1 species